rnacentral:rRNA from 1 species
UACGUAGGGGGCAAGCGUUGUCCGGAAUCAUUGGGCGUAAAGCGCGUGUAGGCGGCCCAGUAAGUCCGCUGUGAAAGCCCAGGGCUCAACCCUGGGAUGCCGGUGGAUACUGUUGGGCUCGAGUCCGGAAGAGGCGAGUGGAAUUCCCGGUGUAGCGGUGAAAUGCGCAGAUAUCGGGAGGAACACCAAUGGCGAAGGCAGCUCGCUGGGACGUGACUGACGCUGAGACGCGAAAGCGUGGGGAGCAACAGGG